GAGUGAAGAGGGAAGAGCUCAUCAUUGGAAUCUGGCAGUGUUGCACUGUCCGAGUUGUAGAUGAGGAGUAGUCCAUCUGGACUGCAUGGCGUCCAAGUACAAUAGGCCGUCAGUGGGACAUCAUAGAGGGUGACAAUCCCGUCCUUGAUGCCAAUGUGCAAGUUCAUUACGAUGGCUAUCUCAGAGAGUCGAGCAGUUUGGGAUUUGCUGCUUAAACAUGGGAGGUAGAUUCCUUCUAAAGCUAAAUACAGGCGAGAGACCGAUAGAGAACAAGUACCGCAAGGGAAAGAUGAAAUAGCACUCUGUGAAGGGAGUCAAAAAGGCGUGAAAUUGUUGCGAGAGAAGCGAUUCAAGUCAGCGUAGCUAGGCCCAUCAAGCCUCUUUGCUUUGGACUAGCUUUGCCAGCGGUCUUGUCCUUAGAGACUUGACUAUUGUAAAUGUCCAGUCUGGUAUGCACAGGCAGCCCCCUCUGGGGGGGCCAGUGACAUGGCUGGUGGAAUGGCUUGCAAUCGACCCGUCUUGAAACACGGACCAAGGAGUCUAACAUGUAUGCGAGUAUAAGGGUGGCAAACCCGUAUGCGCAAUGAAAGUGAUUUUCGGUGAUUGAGAAUGGCCUGAUGACCAGACAAGCAAUAUUAUGUCCCUCGUACGGCCAUUGCCCAAGUUCCGUGGUAGAUCCCAUGAACAUGGAGUUGGAGCAUACAUGCUAGGACCCGAAAGAUGGUGAACUAUGCCUGGACAAAGCGAAGCCAAAGGAAACUCUGGUGGAGGCUUGUAGCGAUUCUGACGUGCAAAUCGAUCGUCUGAUCUG
rnacentral:rRNA from 1 species